CCUCCUAAAGAGUAACGGAGGAGCACGAAGGUUGGCUAAUCCUGGUCGGACAUCAGGAGGUUAGUGCAAUGGCAUAAGCCAGCUUGACUGCGAGCGUGACGGCGCGAGCAGGUGCGAAAGCAGGUCAUAGUGAUCCGGUGGUUCUGAAUGGAAGGGCCAUCGCUCAACGGAUAAAAGGUACUCCGGGGAUAACAGGCUGAUACCGCCCAAGAGUUCAUAUCGACGGCGGUGUUUGGCACCUCGAUGUCGGCUCAUCACAUCCUGGGGCUGAAGUAGGUCCCAAGGGUAUGGCUGUUCGCCAUUUAAAGUGGUACGCGAGCUGGGUUUAGAACGUCGUGAGACAGUUCGGUCCCUAUCUGCCGUGGGCGCUGGAGAACUGAGGGGGGCUGCUCCUAGUACGAGAGGACCGGAGUGGACGCAUCACUGGUGUUCGGGUUGUCAUGCCAAUGGCACUGCCCGGUAGCUAAAUGCGGAAGAGAUAAGUGCUGAAAGCAUCUAAGCACGAAACUUGCCCCGAGAUGAGUUCUCCCUGAGACUUAGAGUCUCCUGAAGGAACGUUGAAGACGACGACGUUGAUAGGCCGGGUGUGUAAGCGCAGCGAUGCGUUGAGCUAACCGGUACUAAUGAACCGUGAGGCUUAACCUUACAACGCCGA
rnacentral:rRNA from 1 species